rnacentral:sRNA from 1 species
UAGCCUACAUGUUAUUCGAGGAACAACUUCAGGCUGGUCAUUUAGAGCCUACGCUCAGCCCUUGGAACACACUCUUCUUUGUAAUUAAGAAAAAAUCUGGUAAUUGGAGAUUAUUACUAGACCUUAGAGCUAUUAAUAAUGUUAUAGAGCCCAUGGGAGUGUUACAAUCUGGCUUCCUUCUCCUACAAAUAUUCCUUUAGAUUAUUAUUUAAUCAUAGUAGAUAUAAAAGAUUGUUUUUCUCUAUACCUUUGUACUCAGAUAAAUGUAAAAAGUUUGCCUUUAG